rnacentral:tRNA from 1 species
AUGACACUAGUAACAAAAUUACACUGCCUUGUCAAGACAGAAUUGCUGGUUGAAACCCGGCGUGUCAAU